rnacentral:rRNA from 1 species
AAGUCGUAACAAGGUCUCCGUUGGUGAACCAGCGGAGGGAUCAUUACCGAGUUAUUCAACUCAUCAACCCUGUGAACAUACCUAAACGUUGCUUCGGCGGGAACAGACGGCCCCGUGAAACGGGCCGCCCCCGCCAGAGGACCCCUAACUCUGUUUCUAUAAUGUUUCUUCUGAGUAAAACAAGCAAAUAAAUUAAAACUUUCAACAACGGAUCUCUUGGCUCUGGCAUCGAUGAAGAACGCAGCGAAAUGCGAUAAGUAAUGUGAAUUGCAGAAUUCAGUGAAUCAUCGAAUCUUUGAACGCACAUUGCGCCCGCCAGUAUUCUGGCGGGCAUGCCUGUUCGAGCGUCAUUACAACCCUCAGGCCCCCGGGCCUGGCGUUGGGGAUCGGCGGAGCCCCCCGUGGGCACACGCCGUCCCCCAAAUACAGUGGCGGUCCCGCCGCAGCUUCCAUCGCGUAGUAGCUAACACCUCGCGACUGGAGAGCGGCGCGGCCACGCCGUAAAACACCCAACUCUUCUGAAGUUGACCUCGAAUCAGGUAGGAAUACCCGCUGAACUUAA